CUGUCAAUCAGCCAACAAUUCUUUUCAUAUAAUCUCAUUAUCAGCAGCAACUCUCUCCAUUCUGCACUAAUAACCCACGUGAAAGAGGAACUCCAUUCAUUGCUAUUCUGCCUGCCAAACUUUAGAGUGUAUCUAUCCACUGAUUCAAUAUCAAUAACAGCAGCCACCAACACCAAAUAUUUGCAGGUCAAGCGCGAGAGUAAGAACUACACAAGGAGUUAGAGUACCUUAGCAAAACUUUGCUAUCAGGUGGGCAAUUCCUUACGCGUAAAUAAAAUGCUAUGCAAAUGUUAUGCUUUAAAAUGCAAAUUGGAUCUUCAAGUAUGGUAUGCUUUAUUACGCUUAAAUGAGUUAAGCUUUAUUAUGCUGCACGUUAAAUGAUUUACGCUAUGCUGUUUAUACUAUUUACGCCCUAUGUAAUUUACGCUUGAUUACACUUAUUUACGCUUGAAUGCUUUACGCUGAUAAGUUUAUGCUUAUGUUUGAUGCUUGCGUCUGUUGGGGGAGGCCUCCCUCAACAGUACGAUGCCGUGUCCGUUGAGGAGGGCCUUCCUCACGGCGCGAUGCCCGUGUCCGCUGAGAGAGGCCUCUCUCGCGGCGCGAUGCCAGUAUGCCAGUAUGCCAGUGUUACAGCGUCUAUUGGGGGAGGCCUCCCUCAAUAGUACGAUGCCGUGACCGCUGAGGGAGGCCCCCUCUCACGGUGCGAUGCCCGUGUUCGUUGGGGAAGGCCUUCUCCACGACACGAUGCGUGUUUAUGAUUGUUAAUGAUGAAGAAUGCGCUCAUGCUGUUUAUGAAUUUGGAAAUGUUUAAAGAGCAAAGGAUUUGAAAGAAACUUAUGCCUCUUAUGCGAUGUUGUUGAUGUUAUGUUAUGCUUGGCAA